rnacentral:rRNA from 1 species
UGGGGAAUCUUGCGCAAUGGCCGAAAGGCUGACGCAGCGACGCCGCGUGUGGGAGGACGCCUUUCGGGGUGUAAACCACUGUUGCCCGGGACGAACAGCCCUUUUCGAGGGGCCUGACGGUACCGGGUGAGGAAGCACCGGCUAACUCCGUGCCAGCAGCCGCGGUAAUACGGAGGGUGCGAGCGUUGUCCGGAAUCAUUGGGCGUAAAGGGCGCGUAGGUGGCGGGACAAGCGUGCGGUGAAAGCUCGGGGCUCAACCCCGCGUCGGCCGUGCGAACUGUUUUGCUUGAGCACUGUAGAGGCAGGCGGAAUUCCGGGUGUAGCGGUGGAAUGCGUAGAGAUCCGGAAGAACACCGGUGGCGAAGGCGGCCUGCUGGGCAGUAGCUGACACUGAGGCGCGACAGCGUGGGGAGCAAAC